UAGUCUUAGCCGUAAACGAUGGACACUAGUUGUUGGAGGAAUUUCUUCUUUCAGUGACGUAGCUAACGCGUUAAGUGUCCCACCUGGGGAGUACGCCCGCAAGGGUGAAACUCAAAGGAAUUGACGGGGGCCCGCACAAGCGGUGGAGCAUGUGGUUUAAUUCGAUGAUACGCGAGGAACCUUACCUAGGCUCUAAUGCGCGCGCCACCUGGUGAAAACCGGGGUUCCUUCGGGACGCAAAGCAAGGUGCUGCAUGGUUGUCGUCAGCUCGUGCCGUGAGGUGUUGGGUUAAGUCCCAUAACGAGCGCAACCCCUAUCGUUAGUUGCUAGCAGGUAAAGCUGAGGACUCUGGCGAGACCGCCACCGUAAGGUGAGAGGAAGGUGGGGAUGACGUCAAAUCAGCACGGCCCUUACGUCCAGGGCUACACACGUGUUACAAUGGCCGAUACAAAGGGCAGCUACCAGGUGACUGGAUGCUAAUCUCGAAAGUCGGUCUCAGUUCGGAUCGGAGUCUGCAACUCG
rnacentral:rRNA from 1 species